AGGAGGAACAGCCCCAGUGGCGGGGCAGCUCUGGAACCUGGAUUCAGCUCCGGCAGGAACUCCGUCUGCAGGGCCUGGAGGCUCUGGGGCGGG
rnacentral:pre_miRNA from 1 species